rnacentral:rRNA from 1 species
AUUGAACGCUGGCGGCAUGCCUUACACAUGCAAGUCGAACGGCAGCACGGGUGCUUGCACCUGGUGGCGAGUGGCGAACGGGUGAGUAAUAUAUCGGAACGUACCUUAUUGUGGGGGAUAACGCAGCGAAAGCUGUGCUAAUACCGCAUAAUCCCUAAGGGGGAAAGCGGGGGACCGUAAGGCCUCGCGCAAUUAGAGCGGCCGAUACCUGAUUAGCUAGUUGGUGAGGUAAAGGCUCACCAAGGCAACGAUCAGUAGCUGGUCUGAGAGGACGAUCAGCCACGCUGGGACUGAGACACGGCCCAGACUCCUACGGGAGGCAGCAGUGGGGAAUUUUGGACAAUGGGGGCAACCCUGAUCCAGCAAUGCCGCGUGGGUGAAGAAGGCCUUCGGGUUGUAAAGCUCUUUUGUCAGGGAAGAAACAGCAGCUCUAACACAGUUUGCGAAUGACGGUACCUGAAGAAUAAGCACCGGCUAACUACGUGCCAGCCGCCGCCGUAA